ACCUUUGCAGUAUUAACUGCUGUCCCAAAAGAUCACAGAUCAGCCCAUAAGAUAUGCAGCAAGAUAUGCAAAUAUGGCCUUCCUCUGCUCAUGAAAACCAGCCCUGUCCUGACCCUGCAGGUCAGGCAGAGGACUCUAGCCCUGUCUUCCCAUUUGGAGAUCAGCACUGAAAACAGAACAAUCAACAUGGGGUUGGGGCUGAACUGUGUCAUUUUGGUUGUUCUUUUAAAAGGUGCCCAUUGUGAGGUUCAGCUCGUUGAGUCUGGGGGAGGAUUGGUGCAGCCUAAGGGGUCAUUGAAGCUCUCCUGUGCAACCUCUGGAUUCACCUUCACUAGCGCUGCCAUACACUGGGUCCGCCAGGCUCCUGGGAAGGGGCUUGAGUGGGUUGCUCGCAUAAGCAGUCAAAGUAAUAAUUACGCAACAAAUUAUGCUGAUUCAGUGAAGGACAGAUUCAUCAUCUCCAGAGAUAAUUCCAAAAGCACAGCCUACCUGCAGAUGAACAAUCUUAAAACUGAG